rnacentral:piRNA from 1 species
UCACCUGCCCCAGGUGUACUUCCAGCUGUGCC